CCAAGUUCAGAUGCCCAGAGUGGAUUCCCACAGCUGCUAGAAGCAGGCCGUACCUGUCCACCCCAGGGAGGGAGGAGUAAACGGGUUCUAACACUUCUACGGAGGCACCCUCACCUGGAGAGACCUGCAUAUAUUGGUUCAGACUGGAUUCUCCAGAGACCAACGGACGAAGAAAGGACUUUUGGAUGAACAGCCUGAGUUUAAACUGACACCGGGCCUUCUUUUUGAUGCAGCAAAUGGACAGAUCCUUCUGUCCAAGACGGACCCCCAUCCUGACACCUGCCGGAGCUUAAGGCUGGAGUAGGGGGUGAUCUCUGCGCUGAAUUCAGAAUCAGGCCUCAUAAGACUACCGGUCCACAGUCCCGGCUCCAUAGCAAAGUCUGCAAGAUCCACAUCGUGCUUCCCCGAGGCCCUGGGGUCAGAGAUGAUACCGUUUUCCUACAAGCUCUCAAAACACUUCACAACCACUUCUUGUAUUGAAUGAAGCUUUGACAACGUGCUUGGGCCGUACAAGGCCCAAAGCUGAGCUGGUCCCUGCCCCAAGGAACGUGCUAUCCAAGAGACAACCCCCGAGGAGACAGGACAUGCUGGGAGAUCCAGGGAGGGUGUUCGCUUUGCGGUUUUCUCUCCUUAGGUGUGCUGAUGUCUUUUGGGCAGUCUCAGAAGAAGUGAGGUUUAUGAGGUCGCUGAAUGAGGGGAAGGUGAGACCUGGUACCUGGCUUUGAAGGUUAAUCGCAUCUGAAGGGGUCGGGCAACACUUAAGCUAUGUCUACACCGCAGAGCUGUGCCGGAUACACCCCAGUGUAGACAAGGUGUGCACCGACAGAAGGAAUUUUUCUGUUGAUAUAGGAACACUGCCUCCCUGAACAACAAUUGCGAUGCCAAAUCGGCAGCCCUGCGGCUGCACUGGGCACUUUCUCAGCAUAGCUAUGGUGGCUGGGGGCGGGGGUGGUUUUUUCACA